rnacentral:rRNA from 1 species
UGGUCAAGUUAUUAAGGGUGCAGGGCGGAUGCCUUGGCACUAGGAGCCGAUGAAGGACGUGAUAAGCUGCGAUAAGCUUCGGGGAGUUGCACGUAAACUUUGAUCCGAAGAUUUCCGAAUGAGGAAACUCACUUAGAGUAAUGUCUAAGUAUCAUUAAGUGAAUACAUAGCUUAAUGAGGGGAACUCAGGGAACUGAAACAUCUAAGUACCUGAAGGAAGAG